rnacentral:rRNA from 1 species
UGGACCUCAGAUCAGACAAGACCACCCGCUGAGUUUAAGCAUAUCACUAAGCGGAGGAGAAGAAACUAACAAGGAUUUCUCUAGUAACGGCGAGCGAACCAGAAGUAGCCCAGCUUGAAAAUCUA